rnacentral:rRNA from 1 species
UACGGAGGGGGCCAGCGUUAUUCGGAAUUAUUGGGCGUAAAGGGCGCGUAGGCGGCUUGGCAAGUCAGUUGUGAAAGCCCUCGGCUCAACCGAGGAACUGCUUCUGAUACUGCCGAGCUCGAGUCCCGGAGAGGGUAGCGGAAUUCCCAGUGUAGCGGUGAAAUGCGUAGAUAUUGGGAGGAACACCAGUGGCGAAGGCGGCUACCUGGACGGGUACUGACGCUGAGGCGCGAAAGCGUGGGGAGCAAACAGGAUUAGAUACCCCCGUA